rnacentral:rRNA from 1 species
AUUGAACGCUGGCGGCAUGCUUUACACAUGCAAGUCGAACGGUAACAGGCCGCAAGGUGCUGACGAGUGGCGAACGGGUGAGUAAUGCAUCGGAACGUGCCCAGUAGUGGGGGAUAAAGCAGCGAAAGCUGUGCUAAUACCGCAUACGAACUAUGGAUGAAAGCGGGGGACCGUAAGGCCUCGCGCGGUGGGAGCGGCAGAUUUCAGAUUAGGUAGUUGGUGGGGUAAAGGCCCACCAAGCCAACGAUCUGUAGCUUGUCUGAGAGGACGACCAGCCACACUGGGACUGAGAAACUGCCCAGACUCCGACGGGAGGCAGCAGUGGAGAAUUUUGGACAAUGGGCGCAAGCCUGAUCCAGCAAUGCCGCGUGCAGGAAGAAGGCCUUCGGGUUGUAAACUGCUUUUGUACGGAACGAAAAGGUUUGGGUUAAUACCCUGGGCCGAUGACGGUACCGUAAGAGUAAGCACCAGCUAACUACGUUCCAGCAGCCGCGGUAA